UCCAGAACUAUGUGAGACAUAGAACUAUAAUUUAUUGAAAAACUUAAGAGAUGUGCAUCCCUCAUCAAAACCAAGAUUUUAUUCUCUUGUCAGCUAGAAGGGACAAUAAAGAGGGUCUAGGAGGAAUCACAAAGUAUUUAGCACCUAAUAACUGCCAAAAUUUCCACUAAUUACUCUAGCACUUAACCCUCAGCAAGAACACUCACCAGUGUAGGUGAGUAUGGUGUGGGCUUUGAAGGUCAAUAGACCUAGAUUUAAAUUUAGAUAUUUCUUAGACACUGAUUGACUCAACAUAAAAAUAGUAACAAUAAAGUAUUAGAACUAUUAACAUAUUGAACGGUUAUGUUCUAGGAAUGAAACUAAAAACACUUAUACUAUUGCAUCUACUUCCAUAGACAUUAUAUGAUGCAGCUAUUUUCAAUACCUGCAUUUAUCUAUGAAGAAAUUGUGGCACAAGGAGGUUUAAAAAGAUGCCCAGUCUUAUAUGAUGAAUCUGGGAUUUGAACUCAGGCACAUCUUCCUGGUCACUCAAUCCCCUAACUUUUACGUUUGGUUGCUGACUUUUCCAAGUUAAUUAAACUCCUUAAAUUAUCUUCUAUUCUAUUUUCUCUUAUAGAAACCAGCAAAGAGUACAUAGAACAAACAUUUUUUUUAGAAGGAUUAAAUGGGACAAUUAAACAAUUUGAUCAGCAUAAUGUCCAGCUCAAGGGAUCUUGGAGGUGGUGAGGCAGCCCAAGUGGAAAGGCAGCAGAAGGGGUAUCCUUGUUUUACCAAUUACUCAUAUGUAGGAGAUGGUGCAUUAAAUGAAAUAUUCUCUGCUCUCUCCUAACAUCUACCCCCUCACACCAAGAGGAAGGCAUGUCGCCUGAACCUUUGCAGUAUUCAAUUAAAGUUCUAUUCACACGGUAUUGCAGUUGUUUGCUUAUCUUUCUUUCUUAUUAGACUUAAAACUUCUGGAAACUAGAGGCUAUAUUACUUAUUUGCCUCAGAGUCCUGUUGGCCUAUCAAAUGGCACACCUUCAAUCCAAGAAUGAAUUAAUUAAAUAAAUGUGAAGAAAAAAAAAAUCCAAGUUGCUUAUUUUUGUUAAAUUUAUUUUUCCCCAAAAUAUUUACUGAGAAAAUGACUCUGGGAAGAUAGCAGAGUGGAAAGCCCCAGAAAUGUGUUUCCCCACCUAGACAACAACUGUACUGGCAGAAUCUGUUUGAUGUGACUAUUCUGAAGUUCUGAAUUGAAUAAAUAUGAAGAAAAUACAAAGUGCAAGUCUUGUUACUUCCAAGGGAUGGCUUGCAUAGUAAGUUGUUUAUUUUGGUGAGUUUCAGCUUUUGAUUGAUUGGGUAGUGGCUACUCAUCCCCAAUCCUAGCCAUGGUAGGAAGCUGUGUGCCUCUUCCUGGAGCAGCUUGUACAUGGUUUGUGGGAGCCAGGGUGAACAAUAAGGAUCCUAACCUCCAAACAUCAGGUG
rnacentral:lncRNA from 1 species